UACGUAGGCAGCAAGCGUUGUUCGGAAUUACUGGGCGUAAAGAGUGUGUAGGCGGUGCUCUAAGUCUGUUGUGAAAUCUCCCGGCUUAACUGGGAGGGUGCGGCGGAGACUGGAGUGCUAGAGUGUGGGAGAGGUAAGCGGAAUUCCUGGUGUAGCGGUGAAAUGCGCAGAUAUCAGGAGGAACACCAAUUGCGAAGGCAGCUCGCUGGGACGUUACUGACGCUGAGACGCGAAAGCGUGGGGAGCAAACAGG
rnacentral:rRNA from 1 species